UUUUGCCAACACUAUUAACGUUCGCACAAUUAUGUCAUGCUUUAAUAAAUUCACUUUGUUUUCCUGAUGCCAAGAAUACGAAGAGCAAGCCAUGUGAACUACCUUGCUGAGACGGUCACAGAGUGUGUGCGGUCUGUCAGUGAAGCGAAAUUCUCUCGCAUCGCAUCUCCCGAUAGCGCCCGUGCUUUAGUACAGCUCGCUGCUUUGCAGAACAGGCACACUUCGAACAUAAGCUUAUUCCCUUAGUCACUAUUUUGUGUCAGAAACAAACUGUAGUCGAUUUUUAAGCCUCCAUGAGCGGCGAUAGACACGAAUGCCUUGGCUGUGGUGAUAGACCGCUGCUGGCGACCCUCUGUUGCAGAUUUCACAGUCUGCGCAGGUCGGUUGUUUGUACGUCGUCCGAUAUAUAGCCACAUCCUGCUGGACUUGAAAUUAGUUGUGUGCGGUAGUUGGUACAAGUCGGAUGCCGGAUUGUACCGUGUGUCUCUUUAUAGCAGAUGAACAGCCCUACACGGAAGCGAGCAAGCAGCAUCCUGUUGUGCUCCGUGCAAGUAUCCCGAUCUAUGAUGUCAACAAUAUUCACGGAGCCAGCAAACCAUCACAGAUGCUGAGCAGCCACUAAAUGUGUUAUAUUGAUAACAAUGUUGCGAUGUGCAGCCAACUCAGAUAGAGCAUUCCCACUUAAUUUAUAACCAUGUUAAAAUAUGUUCUAGGCAACAUCAGCCAUUAAUACUCAGUCAGAUGCACGUAUGUAUGCAGGAGAAUCGAAGAAUCGAACAUUAACAUCUUGAGUUUAAAAUUUUGGCGUCAGUAGUCCUUUAAACAAGAUGCAGAAAACACCAAAACACACAGCUGAUUCAUUUGGCAGUACUUGCCCGAUUCUAACAUGCCCCCGACAGAAACGCGUAACCAAAGGUAAUUAGGUCAAUGUUUCCAAAGUGAAAAACUAACAUAGGAAUGACAUUACAGCUACUGAAUAAAGUAUAAAUCUAACGCUCACCCGAUUUUUUAGCAAGAAAAAUGGGCAAUGGUCUAAUAUCUGUUGCACAAGGGCGGCCGAUUUUCUAAAGUCAGCUUGGCCGCAAUAUAUACAUCUGUGUUAUGCGGUAAAGCAUACAGACGCCGCGAAAGUGAUUUUUGUUUCGUAUCCGUAUUGCACCGUGAAGGCAAUUCUCGGCCCAACAAUCUUAAAAAGAAAAACGCAGGCACGCAUUACAAUAGGCUAAAUACCAUAAUCAGACAUUGAGAGCUAUGGUUAUCGCUUGAAAAUCUCUUUAGAGCAGGCCGAAAAUUUUUGACGGGAGAUAACGUGUCUUCAACGCAUUCACUGUCCUCUAAGCUUCGCCGUCAGAUGCUGCCACUAAAGGGGUCGCUCCUGGAGUCACCAUAGGGGUCAGGGGCAUGCGUGCAGACUGGCCCAAGUUCGAAUUAUCUGGCAACAACAAAUUUUACGACUGAAACAACUAAAGUUUGAGUCCACAGAAAUGCAUGGACACUGUAUGGAACCUUCGGUCUGGAUUGAAUCAGCCGAAAAAUCAAAUUGACGAGAGUCGAAUUAACAGAAGUCUCCUGUAACGAAGUCACACCCGACAACAAAAUACUUUCAUCAUAUCUGAUAUUUGUUACAAGUAGGGGUGUGCAAAUAUCAAAUUAUUUCAUUAAAAAUCAAAUACGAAUAUGUAGCUAUGAAUACUGAACCGAAUAUUGAAUAAUGAUGUGCCCAUGCAUUUAUUAGGAAGUUUGGGUAUUUUAACGUGUUGGAACAACACAAUUACAUUGUCAACAGUAAAAAAAUGAUAGUAAGUCAUUAUACUAAAAGAUUGUAUUUGACUCAUGUUAACUUGGGAAAUUAAGCAAUUCCUACUAGCUGGCUGUUCUCACCAACCUGUGCCUUAUUCACCAUCAUCAUCAAGCCUAU